rnacentral:rRNA from 1 species
UACGUAGGGGGCUAGCGUUGUCCGGAUUUAUUGGGCGUAAAGAGCGUGUAGGCGGCCAGGUAGGUCUGGUGUGAAAACUCGAGGCUUAACCUCGAGAUGUCAUCGGAAACCAUCUGGCUAGAGUCCGGAAGAGGAGAGUGGAAUUCCUGGUGUAGCGGUGAAAUGCGCAGAUAUCAGGAAGAACACCAAUGGCGAAAGCAGCUCUCUGGGACGGUACUGACGCUGAGGAACGAAAGCUAGGGGAGCAAACAGG